AUAUGGUGUAUGACAUAAGUUUCCUGGCAUGUAAUAACUUUCUGUUUCUUCACCACAUUAAGAUUUCAGUGUCUUUAUAUCUAUCAUUUUCUCUGACAAAGUGUGCUUAGUUUUCAACAAGAACUAAUUAUUAGACUUCAUGUUCUUUUUUUGAGAGCACAUUUAGCUAGCUUUGUGGAUCGCAUUGACAACAAACAAUCCUCUUCUUUAUUAUUACUAUUUCUUAGUAUUAUAUAUACAGCGGAGGGAAAACUUUAUUCGCAAAAAGGUUCAAAGUAUGUCGAUUGUUGGGCAUGAAGACUGUUAAAGACAAAUUAAGCAGAUGGAGAAAUAUCCACUCUUCAGUCCAAUGGAAAGUUCUUUCACAUCGACAUUAAUAUUUUUUAAAGGGAAAAAGGAUGAAUUUAUCCCCGAACUUUGAUAAAUGGUACGUCUAUGCCCUCCGUAAUACUUUGGGUCCAUCUCAGCCCCUGCCGUCCAAUUAUCGGUACACACAUGCCCCUCUCACUAACGAUCCCCUCAUCCUGUACACGUGUUUUAAUCCUAAUCAACUAUCCGUUUGACCAUUAUUUUUAACCCAUAAACUAACAACCCGCCCCAUAAACCCAUACCCACCCGAUUCCC